rnacentral:misc_RNA from 1 species
GUAGAGGUAGAGGUAGAGGAAGAGAAAGGGGAGGUCGAGGCAAUGGAAACACCAGCAGGCAUUUUAAUUCUAAAGGUGAUGAUGAUCAAAACAGAAGCAGAGGUCGAGAUCAACAAUUUGACAAAUCAAAAAUUGAGUGCUUCAGAUGUCAAAAGUUUGGUCAUUACCGUUCUGAAUGUCGUACGAAACUAUCCAAUGACAAAGAAAAGGGAGAGAAAUCAAAUUUUGCUGAAAAUAAUGAAGAAGAAACUUUGUUGAUGGCUGUUCAAGCAAAUGAAAAAUCUGAGUCAGAUAUUUGGUAUGUGGAUACAGGCUGCA